UAGAGCUGAUAUACAGCAGUCACUAGCAACACUGUUUUUAUUUUUUCUAAAAAUCUGGCAUCACGUCUGCCAUUUUGAGUGAGAGUGAGAGAGAGUGAGCGAGAAGGAAAACAAAAUAAUACAAAGCUCUCGCUCACUCGUAAAAAAAAUCAACAUGGAAAUAUCCUACCUGGGAAAAGCUGGACGCCUUUUUUAAUAUUUUCGAAGCAACAACCGUCCAAUGGAAUUCCAACAACGGUGAGAAAACACCGUUGAAAUCAAUAUCGGACCUCGGCAGGUAGGACGAUCCACGACUUCUAAGCGAUCCACGAAUUCGGACGAUUCGGAUUAGGAGGACACUUCGUGGUUGUGGUGCCACAGCUGCAGGUACGAAAGCGAAUUCCGUGUUUUUUAGUUUGUAAUAAUUUAACUGUGUGAUGUGAGGUGUGAAGUUUAAAUAAGAUCAAUAAAAAUGGCUUUGAGCUUAAA